rnacentral:rRNA from 1 species
GACGAACGCUGGCGGCGUGCCUAAUACAUGCAAGUAGAACGCAGUUGCGAACGGGUGAGUAACGCGUAGGUAACUGCCUCAUAGCGGGGGAUAACUCUUGGAAACGAUAGCUAAUACCGCAUACUGUGAGAUGGACCUGCGUUGUAUUAGCUAGUUGGUGAGGUAAAGGCUCACCAAGGCGACGAUACAUAGCCGACCUGAGAGGGUGAGCGGGCCAACGGGGAAUGAGACACGGGCGAGACGCCUAAGGAGGGAAGCAGUAGGGGAACUUGGGAAAAGGGCAGAAGGAGGGACGGGCAGAGGCGGGGGAGUGAAGAAGGGGUUCAGAUCGUUAAGCUCGGUUAUUAGAGAAGCGGUAGCUAACGAGGAAGUGACGGCUAACUACGUGCCAGCAGCCGCGGUAAUAC